rnacentral:lncRNA from 1 species
CCAGUUCAGUACUGUUGUGACUUCUGACCAAAGCAAGAACCAUGAACGUACUUCGAUGCAUCCUUGCACAUUUGAAGGAAGAUUAUAUUCCCCACUCUUUCCAAAGAGCAGUAACAGUAGGGUACUGCUAGGUCUACGCCCAUCUGAAUAGACAAUGAACUUCACGUUGUAGGAGGACACUACAGAAGUCAUCAGGUUGACUAAGUAGCCCAGGUUUACAAAAAGAAAGAUGUCACAUUGCACUGAAUGGGUACAGCAGAAAAGUGCUAAUGGCAUCACUGUCCACGCAGGUGCUCAUCCCAGGAGGUUGUUAUCACCAGGCGAAAGCUGGACUACAGUGGGAAAAAGUUCCUAGAACAGGAAUCCAAAUCUCGCCAAGUAGGGAAGAAAUAAGACAAAUAUAAGGAAGAAACUACUGGCAAGAGUAGUG